GCUUAACCGGAGAAGUGCAUCGGAAACUGGGAGACUUGAGUGCAGAAGAGGACAGUGGAACUCCAUGUGUAGCGGUGGAAUGCGUAGAUAUAUGGAAGAACACCAGUGGCGAAGGCGGCUGUCUAGUCUGUAACUGACGCUGAGGCUCGAAAGCAUGGGUAGCGAACAGGAUUAGAUACCCUGGUAGUCCAUGCCGUAAACGAUGAGUGCUAAGUGUUGGAGGGUUUCCGCCCUUCAGUGCUGCAGCUAACGCAUUAAGCACUCCGCCUGGGGAGUACGACCGCAAGGUUGAAACUCAAAGGAAUUGACGGGGGCCCGCACAAGCGGUGGAGCAUGUGGUUUAAUUCGAAGCUACGCGAAGAACCUUACCAGGUCUUGACAUCUUCUGCCAAUCUUAGAGAUAAGACGUUCCCUUCGGGGACAGAAUGACAGGUGGUGCAUGGUUGUCGUCAGCUCGUGUCGUGAGAUGUUGGGUUAAGUCCCGCAACGAGCGCAACCCUUAUUAUCAGUUGCCAGCAUUCAGUUGGGCACUCUGGUGAGACUGCCGGUGACAAACCGGAGGAAGGUGGGGAUGACGUCAAAUCAUCAUGCCCCUUAUGACCUGCGCUACACACGUGCUACAAUGGACGGUACAACG
rnacentral:rRNA from 1 species